ensembl:lncRNA
CAAAAGAUGUUAACUAUGCUGUCAGACUGGACCAGAGCAGUUAACGAACUCUGUGAGGAGGUCAGAGCCAUCCGCAAUACCGGCUCCAAUGAAUCUGUAGAUGCUGGAGUACUGCCUCUGGAUUUGCCCUUGCACAACAUUGAGGAGCUAAACAAUGCAGAGGCAGCUCUUCAAUCACAAGAGGCAAAUAAGGCAAUGGUGAGAUGCGUUGCCUUGAUUGGAGGGACCACACUAGAGGUGCAAGUCCGCCGUGUAAUGGCUUAUGCCAUUACAAACGUGCUGGCCUCAGUACUAAACUGGGCAGGGAAAAAACCAAGGAUCAGACAGAGCAAAAAAGGGCAUUUAAAGAUACAGCGCUGUGCAGAUGCAUAUUUGAUGGCCUGACGCAGCAGUUAGGGGCGAACUCUAUGUCCGAGUUUGUCUUUGCACAAGCAGUCCAGAAAUGGCUCCGAUACGCCCCAGAUCGUAUGGGUGGCGCAGGACGCACAUCAUCCAUCCCCCCAUCCUGGAGUAAAAACUACAAACUUAUGUGAAACAUAUAAAUGUAAAUAGGAAAAUGUCUUUUAAUAAAGUAUUUAGCAAACGAA